rnacentral:rRNA from 1 species
UACGUAGGGGGCAAGCGUUGUCCGGAUUUAUUGGGCUUAAAGGGUGCGUAGGCGGCUUUGUAAGUCAGUGGUGAAAUAUGGCAGCUCAACUGUCAAGGUGCCAUUGAUACUGCAGAGCUUGAGUACAGAUGAGGUAGGCGGAAUUGACGGUGUAGCGGUGAAAUGCUUAGAUAUCGUCAAGAACACCUAUAGCGAAGGCAGCUUACUAGGCUGUAACUGACGCUGAGGCACGAAAGUGUGGGGAUCAAACAGG